UACGGGGGGGGCAAGCGUUGUUCGGAAUUACUGGGCGUAAAGGGCUCGUAGGUGGCCAACUAAGUCAGACGUGAAAUCCCUCGGCUUAACCGGGGAACUGCGUCUGAUACUGGAUGGCUUGAGUUCGGGAGAGGGAUGCGGAAUUCCAGGUGUAGCGGUGAAAUGCGUAGAUAUCUGGAGGAACACCGGUGGCGAAGGCGGCCUGCUGGGCAGUUGCUGACGCUGAGGCGCGACAGCGUGGGGAGCAAACAGG
rnacentral:rRNA from 1 species